CGGGGCGUAGCGCAGCCCGGUAGCGCACCGGACUGGGGGUCCGGUGGUCGCAGGUUCAAAUCCUGUCGCCCCGACCA
rnacentral:tRNA from 2 species